rnacentral:rRNA from 1 species
GGUUAAGCGACUAAGCGUACACGGUGGAUGCCCUGGCAGUCAGAGGCGAUGAAGGACGUGCUAAUCUGCGAUAAGCGUCGGUAAGGUGAUAUGAACCGUUAUAACCGGCGAUUUCCGAAUGGGGAAACCCAGUGUGUUUCGACACACUAUCAUUAACUGAAUCCAUAGGUUAAUGAGGCGAACCGGGGGAACUGAAACAUCUAAGUACCCCGAGGAAAAGAAAUCAACCGAGAUUCCCCCAGUAGCGGCGAGCGAACGGGGAGCAGCCCAGAGCCUGAAUCAGUGUGUGUGUUAGUGGAAGCGUCUGGAAAGGCGCGCGAUACAGGGUGACAGCCCCGUACACAAAAAUGCACAUACUGUGAGCUCGAUGAGUAGGGCGGGACACGUGGUAUCCUGUCUGAAUAUGGGGGGACCAUCCUCCAAGGCUAAAUACUCCUGACUGACCGAUAGUGAACCAGUACCGUGAGGGAAAGGCGAAAAGAACCCCGGCGAGGGGAGUGAAAAAGAACCUGAAACCGUGUACGUACAAGCAGUGGGAGCCUCUUUUAUGGGGUGACUGCGUACCUUUUGUAUAAUGGGUCAGCGACUUAUAUUCUGUAGCAAGGUUAACCGAAUAGGGGAGCCGAAGGGAAACCGAGUCUUAACCGGGCGUUAAGUUGCAGGGUAUAGACCCGAAACCCGGUGAUCUAGCCAUGGGCAGGUUGAAGGUUGGGUAACACUAACUGGAGGACCGAACCGACUAAUGUUGAAAAAUUAGCGGAUGACUUGUGGCUGGGGGUGAAAGGCCAAUCAAACCGGGAGAUAGCUGGUUCUCCCCGAAAGCUAUUUAGGUAGCGCCUCGUGAAUUCAUCUCCGGGGGUAGAGCACUGUUUCGGCAAGGGGGUCAUCCCGACUUACCAACCCGAUGCAAACUGCGAAUACCGGAGAAUGUUAUCACGGGAGACACACGGCGGGUGCUAACGUCCGUCGUGAAGAGGGAAACAACCCAGACCGCCAGCUAAGGUCCCAAAGUCAUGGUUAAGUGGGAAACGAUGUGGGAAGGCCCAGACAGCCAGGAUGUUGGCUUAGAAGCAGCCAUCAUUUAAAGAAAGCGUAAUAGCUCACUGGUCGAGUCGGCCUGCGCGGAAGAUGUAACGGGGCUAAACCAUGCACCGAAGCUGCGGCAGCGACACUGUGUGUUGUUGGGUAGGGGAGCGUUCUGUAAGCCUGUGAAGGUGUACUGUGAGGUAUGCUGGAGGUAUCAGAAGUGCGAAUGCUGACAUAAGUAACGAUAAAGCGGGUGAAAAGCCCGCUCGCCGGAAGACCAAGGGUUCCUGUCCAACGUUAAUCGGGGCAGGGUGAGUCGACCCCUAAGGCGAGGCCGAAAGGCGUAGUCGAUGGGAAACAGGUUAAUAUUCCUGUACUUGGUGUUACUGCGAAGGGGGGACGGAGAAGGCUAUGUUGGCCGGGCGACGGUUGUCCCGGUUUAAGCGUGUAGGCUGGUUUUCCAGGCAAAUCCGGAAAAUCAAGGCUGAGGCGUGAUGACGAGGCACUACGGUGCUGAAGCAACAAAUGCCCUGCUUCCAGGAAAAGCCUCUAAGCAUCAGGUAACAUCAAAUCGUACCCCAAACCGACACAGGUGGUCAGGUAGAGAAUACCAAGGCGCUUGAGAGAACUCGGGUGAAGGAACUAGGCAAAAUGGUGCCGUAACUUCGGGAGAAGGCACGCUGAUAUGUAGGUGAAGUCCCUCGCGGAUGGAGCUGAAAUCAGUCGAAGAUACCAGCUGGCUGCAACUGUUUAUUAAAAACACAGCACUGUGCAAACACGAAAGUGGACGUAUACGGUGUGACGCCUGCCCGGUGCCGGAAGGUUAAUUGAUGGGGUCAGCGCAAGCGAAGCUCUUGAUCGAAGCCCCGGUAAACGGCGGCCGUAACUAUAACGGUCCUAAGGUAGCGAAAUUCCUUGUCGGGUAAGUUCCGACCUGCACGAAUGGCGUAAUGAUGGCCAGGCUGUCUCCACCCGAGACUCAGUGAAAUUGAACUCGCUGUGAAGAUGCAGUGUACCCGCGGCAAGACGGAAAGACCCCGUGAACCUUUACUAUAGCUUGACACUGAACAUUGAGCCUUGAUGUGUAGGAUAGGUGGGAGGCUUUGAAGUGUGGACGCCAGUCUGCAUGGAGCCGACCUUGAAAUACCACCCUUUAAUGUUUGAUGUUCUAACGUGGACCCGUGAUCCGGGUUGCGGACAGUGUCUGGUGGGUAGUUUGACUGGGGCGGUCUCCUCCUAAAGAGUAACGGAGGAGCACGAAGGUUGGCUAAUCCUGGUCGGACAUCAGGAGGUUAGUGCAAUGGCAUAAGCCAGCUUGACUGCGAGCGUGACGGCGCGAGCAGGUGCGAAAGCAGGUCAUAGUGAUCCGGUGGUUCUGAAUGGAAGGGCCAUCGCUCAACGGAUAAAAGGUACUCCGGGGAUAACAGGCUGAUACCGCCCAAGAGUUCAUAUCGACGGCGGUGUUUGGCACCUCGAUGUCGGCUCAUCACAUCCUGGGGCUGAAGUAGGUCCCAAGGGUAUGGCUGUUCGCCAUUUAAAGUGGUACGCGAGCUGGGUUUAGAACGUCGUGAGACAGUUCGGUCCCUAUCUGCCGUGGGCGCUGGAGAACUGAGGGGGGCUGCUCCUAGUACGAGAGGACCGGAGUGGACGCAUCACUGGUGUUCGGGUUGUCAUGCCAAUGGCACUGCCCGGUAGCUAAAUGCGGAAGAGAUAAGUGCUGAAAGCAUCUAAGCACGAAACUUGCCCCGAGAUGAGUUCUCCCUGACCCUUUAAGGGUCCUGAAGGAACGUUGAAGACGACGACGUUGAUAGGCCGGGUGUGUAAGCGCAGCGAUGCGUUGAGCUAACCGGUACUAAUGAACCGUGAGGCUUAACCUU